CAGAAGAGACUCUCAGUGUUUCAUAUGCUCCUAAAGACACCUCAGCAUCCAUCAGUCCAUCAGGUUUGGUGUCAGCAGGUAGCUGGGUGAAGCUGAGCUGCUCCAGCAGAGCCAAGCCUCCCGUCAGCAGCUUCACCUGGUUCAAGAUCAGCACAGAGGGACCCGUUAAUGUGUCUGAGGGACCGGUUCACAGCUUCAAUGCAACGGAUGGAGGAGUUUAUUACUGUGUGGCUGCAAAUAAACUGGGAAACCAGACGUCCCAAGAAAUCCGUCUUAAUAUUAAAGACAUUCAGGAGUUUGGGGCUGUUGUCUACGUUACAGUGAAGAUCCUGCUAAUUGUAAUGCUCUACAGUACAACCGCCAUCUUUGAAUGAUG